rnacentral:rRNA from 1 species
UGAGUAACGCGUAAAGACUUGCCUUGCAGUCUGGGACAACGUCUGGAAACGGACGCUAAUACCGGAUAUUAUCGCAUGAUGAAAGCUAUAUGCGCUGCGAGAGAGCUUUGCGUCCCAUUAGUUAGUUGGUGAGGUAACGGCUCACCAAGACGAUGAUGGGUAGCCGGCCUGAGAGGGUGAACGGCCACAAGGGGACUGAGACACGGCCCUUACUCCUACGGGAGGCAGCAGUGGGGAAUAUUGGACAAUGGACCAAAGUCUGAUCCAGCAAUUCUGUGUGCACGAUGAAGUUUUUCGGAAUGUAAAGUGCUUUCAGUUGGGAAGAAGAAAGUGACGGUACCAACAGAAGAAGCGACGGCUAAAUACGUGCCAGCAGCCGCGGUAAUACGUAUGUCGCAAGCGUUAUCCGGAUUUAUUGGGCGUAAAGCGCGUCUAGGCGGUUUGGUAAGUCUGAUGUGAAAAUGCGGGGCUCAACUCCGUAUUGCGUUGGAAACUGUCAAACUAGAGUACUGGAGAGGUAGGCGGAACUACAAGUGUAGAGGUGAAAUUCGUAGAUAUUUGUAGGAAUGCCGAUGGGGAA